ACGUUAUUAGUAUAAAAAUUAUGCCUAGCUUCCAACUAGAAGACCUUGGAAUCCUCCCCCAAGAUAACGUA
rnacentral:tRNA from 1 species